rnacentral:lncRNA from 1 species
UGGGCCCUCAUCCAUUUCCGAAACAUAACACACAUCCUCUCCCCAGAUCCUCAUCGUGACCCAUAAAGUCCCGCCGUGCUCACCCCUGCCUGACACGUGAGCGAGCAGCAGAGGCACAACUGAGCCAUUUUCUCCAGGCUGACGGACGGGGACAUCGGGAGGAUCAGGUUCGCACUCCAGGCCAUCUGGGUUUGAAUCCCACCUCCCCCGUCCUCCUCCCCUCCGUGUAACACCACAGCGAGGCUCCCUGAGCAAUCUCAAGUGCGUUGGGCCAGCUGCACCUCCGCCCUUGGUCCGUGCCCUCACCAUUCGUCUCAGUAGGAUUCUCACCCAUCAUCUGGGGCAGACCUUCCUCAGGCUCAGUACCGACACACUUUGCUUGUGAGUGUCCCUUGGCUUGGCAAGUACCAGUGAGGAGACCAUUCUGCGUGCGAACCGAGAAAUCUCUUCUUCCACUGCAUUAGGGUGGUAAAAAACAGGAAACAAAUGUGUGUAUCCAUCGAUAAGGGAGUCAUGAAAUAAACAGCAUAGCUGCAGAGUGGAAUUGGAGGCUGCCUUUGAAAAUGUUACUGCAAAAGAAUAGAAAUAAAUCCAGAUUUUAUCAGUAGAUGACAGUCUGUGUGUGUGUGUGUGUGUGUGUGUGUUUACACAUGCGAGUGCACACUACAGAGAGUAGAUAGGUGGGUGGAUAGACAAUAAGACCAGGACAUACAUCAAGAUGCUAAUGCUAUUUAACAGAGUUACAAGUGAUUCUAAAUUUCUUGUCUAUGUUUUCCAAAUCUUCUACACUGGAUAUGGGUUUCUUUUAUC